UGCAUGCUGAAAAAAAAAAAAAAAAAAAAAAAAAAAAAAAAAG
rnacentral:ribozyme from 13 species